rnacentral:lncRNA from 1 species
AGAGAAGAGAGAGAAAAAAACAUUACAAAUGAAAAAAAUUUGGGAAAACAGAAAUACAUAUGUCAUUGGACCCAAUGCAUGUGUUACAUAUUGCUUCUAGUUACCUCCUCUGCAUCACAACCAACACACUUGCCAUGUGAAACUUUGCAUGUGUGACAUAUAUAUGGUUUCAAAGUUGUAUGUGGAACAUGAUCAUUGGGCCAAGACAAGCACAUGGUGGCAACAUACAAUUGGAUAUGAGGCAAAUGUGUUAAGCACUAAUUGGUUAGCUAAUUAGGGUUUCCAAUUAGGGUUGCAAAGUUUAUCAACCUUUAUAUAUAUAUAGAU